rnacentral:lncRNA from 1 species
CCCUUUUCCAAACCUCUCAGCUGGGAGCCCAGAGGGCCAGAGGAGGAGUUCAGUAGACACAGUCAGUGGGCAAUGGACUCAGAACUCUGGGGCUGGUGCUGGGAUCCUGGCUGCCCUCUCACUCCCCACCGUGGGAACACAUACUAUGAGAAGCAGUGUGACCUAAUCAGAAGCAAUGUGGUCUAAUAGAGAAAGCACGGUCCUGGGAGCCACAAGGCCUGGGUUUUAAUCCUGUCUCCAUCAAGUGAGCUCGGGCAAGCCACUUGACUUCUUUGGGUUUCAGUUGCCUCAUCUGUAAAUGGGGAUUAAGAUUGUGAGCCCUCCGUGGGUCAGGGACCAGGUUCCACUGAUGAUCUUCUAUAGACCCCAGCCCUUAGAACAGUUACUGACCCAGAGUAAGCACCAGAUAGAUCCCACGACAAAAUGAAUGAGAGGCCCAGGAAAUCCAAUGACCCCUCUGCCCCAAAGGUUCCACCAGAUCUCAGCCUCCCAGCCUUUCCCAACCCUGGCCACCGGGGCCAGACAGCAUAUCUGCUGCCUCUCUCCUCAGCUUGCCUAGUCCGCUGUUUUUGGGCCUGCAUGGUGCCCGGGGUUGUCGUGGCCCUGGGUCCCAUGCAAUGUGUCCCCAAGACCUCCAUUCUACCAUCUAACUGCCUUCCCUCAGUGAGGAAUAUACGGUUUGGACUUUUCACACAGGAACAGGAGAAGAGGAGGGGAGAAGAGCCAUACCACAUCUCUCAGAGCUUCAAAAGAGCUGGGGCCAUGAGGCUUAGUUUUCUGAGAACCAUCCUAUUCUCCCAGCUCUGUGGUGUCCAGUGCAGGAUGGUCAAUCGUCUCUGCACUUUGGAGAGAAAUUAUUCUAGCAGCUACUACCAGGAUGGAGAUGUGGUGAUCGGAGGACCUUUCUCUCUGGAUGUGAUUUUGAGUAAUUGGGAUACUUCACCAAACACUACCAGCAUCUCAUGGCCCUGGUGUUUGCUGUGGAGGAGAUCAACAAGGCCCCCAGCCUGUUACCCAAUAUCUCUCUGGGCUUCCAUCUCUUCAGUGUCCACUUCCUGGGGCCGAUCGCGGCCAAGCGUUCCAUGGCUCCGCUUUCAGGGAGAGCCGGGUUGGUGCCCAACUACAACUGUGAGCCGGAGCAGUGGGGCAAACUGCUGGCUGUCAUAGGAGGGAUGUAGACGGUGGUGUCCAUGACCAGCUCCUGGCUGCUGGGACUCCACAAGUUCCCCCAGGUAAGGGGUCCCGAUGGCUAGGAGCAGACUAGUAUUAGGAUGUUGUAGUUGUUGAUGUCAUUUUAUGAUAUUUGUUAAGCCCUUAAUUUGUGCCAGCCACUGCACUAAGUGCUGUCCUUUGGACAUAUCCAGGCAGGGAAUUACUUUGAAGCAACCAAAGUCAGUGAAGGCGAAUUACAUCUUUGCCCAAAAGGAAAAAGACAGACCGCUUGUAGACUUUAAGCCAUCUGUGGGCAGGGAGACUGUCUACUAGUUCUGUUGAACUCUUCCAAAUACAAAUUAAUCAUACGGUUCCCAAGAUACAAACUAAUCAGUUUGGACACUGUCCAUGUCCCACAAGGGGUAAAACAUCUUGACAGAUGAGGGAACUGAGGCAUGGGGAGCUGAAAUCACUUGCAAAGGUCACAAAUAAUAAUAAUAAUGUUGGUAUUUGUUAAGCGCUUACUAUGUGCCAAGCACUGUUCUAAGCGCUGGGGUAGACACAGGGGAAUCAGGUUGUCCCAGUGGGGCUCACAGUCUUAAUCCCCAUUUUACAGAUGAGGUAACUGAGGCACCGAGAAGUUAAGUGACUUGCCCAAAGUCACACAGCUGACCAAUGGCCGAGUCGGCAUUCGAACCCAUGACCUCUGACUCCAAAGCCUGUGCUCUUUCCACUGAGCCACGCUGCUUCUCAAAGCAGGCACGUGGCAGAGCUGGGAUCAGAACCCAGGUUCUUGGGCUCCUAGGCCCGUGUCCUUUCC